rnacentral:tRNA from 1 species
GUGGCCGUAGCUCAACGGUUAGAGUCCCAGAUUGUGGAUCUGGAUGUUGCGGGUUCGAUUCCCGUCGGCCACC